CCGCCACUAUACUUCCUCUUCAUAGAAGGGUUGUGGCUGUGAUUAUUAUAGCGGAACCCUAACCCUUCAGGGCUCAUUGGAGGGAAGCGGGGAACAUUGACAGCACCGGGGAAGUCGGGGUUAGGACCCAGGGGGAGGAACCGUGGGGGUAGAGGUGGACGAGGAGGGAAGUCCUGGUAAUCAGGAGGGAGGGCGAAGUAAGAGCGGACGCUGCCGUCGGCGAGUACAAUGGCGCGACGCUCCAGCAUGUGAAAGCCAUAGGUGGGAGGGGGAGGGGGGCCCAGGUCCGGCAAAGGGAAUGACGGUCUCGGCAGAGCAGAGACAAGGUCUGACGGAGGAGCAGCGGAAGUGGGCUUGGGAGAUGGAACUGCGUUGGGCUUUGGCGAAGGUUUCGAAUUCAAAAAGGGUUUAAUUGGUUUAUGGUCGUUGGUUUUGGAGUCCGAAGACGGAUUAUCGGUGGUGGCGGUGGAGGAUUCCCAGCGGGAUUUGCGGUGGGAAGCAGAGGAGGAGGAAGGCUUAUCCAAGGAGGAUUUGGGGUGGGAGCCACUGGCCAUUCUCGUGAAUCGAGUCGAAUUAGCUAGGGUUUUCCAAGAGAUAAUACUACCAUUACAAGAAAGCGGAUAGAAAUUUCAAAUCGUCAUAGGAUAUUAGUAACAGAGAGCUAAGCUGCGUCUAUGUUCAGAGGCCAAGAGAAUAUAAAUACGGCUCUUGGCCAUUAAUGUUAGGAAUAAGAGCAAAGAUGCUGAGAAAGGAGAGCCUCGGUCCUCCUCAGAGGAAAAGGAGAC
rnacentral:misc_RNA from 1 species